rnacentral:rRNA from 1 species
UGCGCAGGCGGUUCGUUAAGUUCGAUGUGAAAGCCCCGGGCUCAACCUGGGAAUUGCAUUGGAAACUGGCGGGCUUGAGUGUGGCAGAGGGGGGUGGAGUUCCACGUGUAGCAGUGAAAUGCGUAGAGAUGUGGAGGAACACCGAUGGCGAAGGCAGCCCCCUGGGCUAACACUGACGCUCAGGCACGAAAGCGUGGGAGCAAACA